GAUAGACCCAUGUCUCUGCUUCACGCAAAGGCUCAGCCACCACAGUCCCUUCCCCAGGCCUGGCUCCAGAGCACGGCCCCAGUAACCCAUCAGGCAGGCUCCACUGGUCAUCAGGGGAUCCCUUGAACUGUUCAUUGUCUGGCCUAGGACCAGUUUAUCUUGGGAGACCCUCCAGGGGCUAAUUGCCCCUCCAUCAUCAUAAGGAAAGUUUGCAUUUCUUCCUUGGAAAGCUUGUGAGAGAAUGUGACCGUGUGUCUGACAGAUCUGACCAGAAGCAGAUAACUUCAGCCCGAGUUUCCCUCAUU